ACUAGAGUACGGUAGAGGGUGGUGGAAUUUCCUGUGUAGCGGUGAAAUGCGUAGAUAUAGGAAGGAACACCAGUGGCGAAGGCGACCACCUGGACUGAUACUGACACUGAGGUGCGAAAGCGUGGGGGAGCAAACAGGAUUAGAUACCCUGGUAGUCCACGCCGUAAACGAUGUCGACUAGCCGUUGGGAUCCUUGAGAUCUUAGUGGCGCAGCUAACGCGAUAAGUCGACCGCCUGGGGAGUACGGCCGCAAGGUUAAAACUCAAAUGAAUUGACGGGGGCCCGCACAAGCGGUGGAGCAUGUGGUUUAAUUCGAAGCAACGCGAAGAACCUUACCUGGCCUUGACAUGUCCGGAAUCCUGCAGAGAUG
rnacentral:rRNA from 1 species